GCAGCGCAAUACAUAGCGAGUUGAACUUCUAAUCCAUAGGUCAUGGGUUCGAAUCCCAUCUGAGGUG